GACGAACGCUGGCGGCGUGCUUAACACAUGCAAGUCGAACGGAAAGGCCUCUUUCGGGGGGUACUCGAGUGGCGAACGGGUGAGUAACACGUGAGUAACCUGCCCUUGACUUUGGGAUAACUUCAGGAAACUGGGGCUAAUACCGGAUAGGAGCUCCUGCUGCAUGGUGGGGGUUGGAAAGUUUCGGCGGUUGGGGAUGGACUCGCGGCUUAUCAGCUUGUUGGUGGGGUAGUGGCUUACCAAGGCUUUGACGGGUAGCCGGCCUGAGAGGGUGACCGGCCACAUUGGGACUGAGAUACGGCACAGACUCCUACGGGAGGCAGCAGGGGGGAAUAUUGCACAAUGGGUGGAAGCCUGAUGCAGCAAGGCCGUGUGCGGGAUGACGGCCUUCGGGUUGUAAACCGCUUUCGCUCAUGACGAAGCUUUGUGUGACGGUAGUGGGUAAAGAAGCACCGGCUAACUACGUG
rnacentral:rRNA from 1 species